UACGGAGGGAGCGAGCGUUGUUCGGAAUUACUGGGCGUAAAGGGUGCGCAGGCGGCUUUGCAAGUCGGAAGUGAAAUCCCAGGGCUUAACCCUGGAAUUGCUUUCGAAACUGCAAAGCUUGAGUCUCGGAGAGGUUAGCGGAAUUCCCAGUGUAGAGGUGAAAUUCGUAGAUAUUGGGAGGAACACCAGUGGCGUAAGCGGCUAACUAGACGAGUACUGACGCUCAGGCACGAAAGCGUGGGGAUCAAACAGG
rnacentral:rRNA from 1 species